UCUUUUUUGCCUCUAUUGACUCUAGAAAAUUUCCGUCGAGUGCUGCUUCAUCUUCUCCUCCGAUUCGCCCCACAUCAAUCAGCCUCGCCUCACCUUGCUCUGCCUCCACCCAUCUUCCCUGCCCCGAAUUCUUCCCCAGACGAGGGUCGCCGCCUUUUGAUCAAGGAGAGAGAAGAGGAGACGGGAUCGAGGGCGUCGCCGGAGGCCCUGCGUGUUUGCUACACCAAGAUUUUGGGAAUCAGAUCUGCACCAUGCCGGUCAAAUAAACCGUCACCGCUCACAUCCCCGCAAUCCAACGCGAUGGAGUUUCCUCUGUGCCCCCAACAACACAGGCGGCCCGUGCCUGGAUGGGUGGGGGCGUCUGUUACCCGAGGUCAUCGGCAGGCGGUGACUGAACCAUCGCCUCUCUCCUACCAUACACUCUCUUCCCUUCUACAUGGAUCUCUCUGAUUUUGUGCAGCACAUUGCAGGUGUUUGAAGGAGGAACAGGGCCGACAACCAGAACAGGAGCACUACCUGAACAACAAGUUGGGCAGCCUCCAGAAGCGACCUGGGAGUUGGAACAGUGGUUGUUUCAAGCAAACACAUCCCAGUGAAUGUAGAGCUUAUGUAGGGAAAGGAUGGUAACCUGAGUACCAGUACACCUGCAUAAGAUACCUACCUUUCCAGAAGUUAUGGAGAGCUUAACAAGAAAAUAGGAUAGCCGAUCGAAACACUGAUGAAUUUUUCUUAGGUUUCCAUUUCAAAAAAAUCGCUAUUCCCUCCUGCUAAGGCAUGUGAACAAGGACUUGGUGAGAAGACAGUACAAAUGAGACGGCGUUGUGGCUGAGACGUGCAUGCAGGGAGGGAGAGUCAUGGACAGUGUGGGUCGGCCACAAGAUCUCCGAGGGCUUGGCCUGAACAAGCUGGGAGAGUUGGCGAUGUCCACAAGGAGGAGUCCGCGAGCAAGGAUGGUCACACCGUCAAGUCCCCUCCAGAGACCGCCUAACACGCCGCCUCCGGGACGGCAAGUGGAAAGGGCGUGGACACAAAGGAGGUGGCAGAGAAGGCCGGGCAGACCAAGGACACGACAAUGGAGGCUCUGAAAGGGUCAUCCGGCGAGCCUGCCAUUCUCCUUGGCCCACCCCCAUUUGCUCGCCCUUCUCUGAAAGGGUCAUCUGAAAGGGUCAACGAAGGUGAACUAUUGCCUAUUGACUUUUGUGGGGUGUUGCUUUUCACCAACUUGCCAGUAAUUGUUUUCCAUUUUAGAUGUAGGUAUGCAUAGACAAGAAAGAGCUGCUGCAUUUUAUUAUAUAUUAUUUGUUAGCUUGAACAUACCAGUGCAUCUCAGGAAAGGGAAUCAAAAAUAUGGCACUGUGUGUGUGGUGCCAACUUUAGUGACGCCACUCUGAAGUUGAGGCCCUUACUCUUCGCUAUAUGUAGAAAUUGAAGUUGGUUUUCGAGAAAGGCUUAAUUCGGUUCAAUGAUUCAGGGAUUCUGGUACAUGUUAAUUGAGAAUCUGAUCUAUAACUCUUAUGAAGGUUCAUAUAUGGUGCGUUGGCUCUCUGUCUUGGAGCUUUUAUAGUGUCCGAUGAAUAUUUGUAAGCUGCUCCUCUCUGAAUGGGCACUUACGGGUGAUCUUAACAUUCUUCACAUGUCGGACAAAAAAAUCCUGUUCCACGGAAAGAAGCAAUUCUUAUUUGUGUUGAUGUAUAAAAAAUAUUACAUCUCAUUCAAAUAUGUCGUGUUAUGAUUACUUCUGACUC